rnacentral:rRNA from 1 species
GACGAACGCUGGCGGCGUGCUUAACACAUGCAAGUCGAACGGAAAGGCCCUGCUUUUGUGGGGUGCUCGAGUGGCGAACGGGUGAGUAACACGUGAGUAACCUGCCCUUGACUUUGGGAUAACUUCAGGAAACUGGGGCUAAUACCGGAUAGGAGCUCCUGCUGCCUGGUGGGGGUUGGAAAGUUUCGGCGGUUGGGGAUGGGCUCGCGGCUUAUCAGCUUGUUGGUGGGGUAGUGGCUUACCAAGGCUUUGACGGGUAGCCGGCCUGAGAGGGUGACCGGCAACAGUGGGACUGAGAUACGGCCCAGACUCCUACGGGAGGCAGCAGUGGGGAAUAUUGCACAAUGGGCGGAAGCCUGAUGCAGCAACGCCGCGUGCGGGAUGACGGCCUGCGGGUUGUAAACCGCUUUCGCCUGUGACGAAGCGUGAGUGACGGUAAUGGGUAAAGAAGCACCGGCUAACUACGUG